UUAAUACCUGGGGUCCAUGACGGUACCGUAAGAAUAAGCACCGGCUAACUACGUGCCAGCAGCCGCGGUAAUACGUAGGGUGCAAGCGUUAAUCGGAAUUACUGGGCGUAAAGCGUGCGCAGGCGGUUAUAUAAGACAGAUGUGAAAUACCCCGGGGCUCAACCUGGGAACUGCAUUUGUGACUGUAUAGCUAGAGUACGGCAGAGGGGAGUGGAAUUCCGCGUGUAGCAGUGAAAUGCGUAGAUAUGCGGAGGAACACCGAUGGCGAAGGCAAUCCCUCGGGCCUGUACUGACGCUCAUGCACGAAAGCGUGGGGAGCAAACAGGAUUAGAUACCCUGGUAG
rnacentral:rRNA from 1 species